AAAAGAAACUAACAAGGAUUCCCCUAGUAACUGCGAGUGAAGCGGGAAAAGCUCAAAUUUAAAAUCUGGCAGUCUCUGGCUGUCCGAGUUGUAAUCUAGAGAAGUGUUAUCCGCGCUGGACCGUGUACAAGUCUCCUGGAAUGGAGCGUCAUAGAGGGUGAGAAUCCCGUCUUYGACACGGACUGCCAGGGCUUUGUGAUGCGCUCUCAAAGAGUCGAGUUGUUUGGGAAUGCAGCUCAAAAUGGGUGGUAAAUUCCAUCUAAAGCUAAAUAUUGGCGAGAGACCGAUAGCGAACAAGUACCGUGAGGGAAAGAUGAAAAGAACUUUGGAAAGAGAGUUAAACAGUACGUGAAAUUGCUGAAAGGGAAACGCUUGAAGUCAGUCGCGUUGGCCAGGGAUCAACCUUGCUUUUGCUUGGUGCACUUUCUGGUUGAUGGGUCAGCAUCAAUUUUGACUAUUGGAAAAAGGUCAAGGGAAUGUGGCAUCUUCGGAUGUGUUAUAGCCCUUAGCUGCAUACAAUGGUUGGGAUUGAGGAACUCAGCACGCCGCAAGGCCGGGUUUUUAACCACGUACGUGCUUAGGAUGCUGGCAUAAUGGCUUUAAUCGACCCGUCUUGAAACACGGACCAAGGAGUCUAACAUGCCUGCGAGUGUUUGGGUGGAAAACCCGAGCGCGCAAUGAAAGUGAAAGUUGAGAUCCCUGUCGUGGGGAGCAUCGACGCCCGGACCAGACCUUUUGUGACGGCUCCGCGGUAGAGCAUGUAUGUUGGGACCCGAAAGAUGGUGAACUAUGCCUGAAUAGGGUGAAGCCAGAGGAAACUCUGGUGGAGGCUCGUAGCGAUUCUGACGUGCAAAUCGAUCGUCAAAUUUGGGUAUAGGGGCGAAAGACUAAUCGAACCAUCUAGUAGCUGGUUC
rnacentral:rRNA from 2 species